UGGCUAUGUCAUGUUGAAACACUGGUUCUGAUACAAUCACCAAAGUUAAGCAACAUUGAGCCUGGUUAGUACCUAGAUGGGUGACUACUUCGGAAUGCAGGGUGUUGUAAG